CAAAUAAUCUCUCGUUCAUUA
rnacentral:piRNA from 1 species